GAUGAACGCUGGCGGCGUGCCUAAUACAUGCAAGUCGAGCGAACGGACGAGAAGCUUGCUUCUCUGAUGUUAGCGGCGGACGGGUGAGUAACACGUGGAUAACCUACCUAUAAGACUGGGAUAACUUCGGGAAACCGGAGCUAAUACCGGAUGAUAUUUUGAACCGCAUGGUUCAAAAGUGAAAGACGGUCUUGCUGUCACUUAUAGAUGGAUCCGCGCUGCAUUAGCUAGUUGGUAAGGUAACGGCUUACCAAGGCAACGAUGCAUAGCCGACCUGAGAGGGUGAUCGGCUACACUGGAACUGAGACACGGUCCAGACACCGACGGGAGGACGCAGUAGAGAAUCUUCCGCGAUGGAGGAGAGCCUGACGGAGGAACGCCGCGUGAGUGAUGAAGGUCUUCGGAUCGUAGAACUCUGUUAGUAGGGAAGAACAUAUGUGUAAGUAACUGUGCACAUCUUGACGGUACCUAAUCAGAAAGCCACGGCUAACUACGUG
rnacentral:rRNA from 1 species